rnacentral:rRNA from 1 species
GGUCUAGCGGCGGACGGGUUAGUAACGCGUGGGAACGUGCCCUUCUCUGCGGAAUAGCCACUGGAAACGGUGAGUAAUACCGCAUACGCCCUUCGGGGGAAAGAUUUAUCGGAGAAGGAUCGGCCCGCGUUAGAUUAGAUAGUUGGUGGGGUAACGGCCUACCAAGUCUACGAUCUAUAGCUGGUUUUAGAGGAUGAUCAGCAACACUGGGACUGAGACACGGCCCAGACUCCUACGGGAGGCAGCAGUGGGGAAUCUUAGACAAUGGGCGCAAGCCUGAUCUAGCCAUGCCGCGUGUGUGAUGAAGGUCUUAGGAUCGUAAAGCACUUUCGCCAGGGAUGAUAAUGACAGUACCUGGUAAAGAAACCCCGGCUAACUCCGUGCCAGCAGCCGCGGUAAUACGGAGGGGGUUAGCGUUGUUCGGAAUUACUGGGCGUAAAGCGCGCGUAGGCGGAUUGGAAAGUUGGGGGUGAAAUCCCGGGGCUCAACCCCGGAACUGCCUCCAAAACUAUCAGUCUAGAGUUCGAGAGAGGUGAGUGGAAU